rnacentral:rRNA from 1 species
UACAGAGGGGGCAAGCGUUGUUCGGAAUUACUGGGCGUAAAGGGCGCGUAGGCGGCCUGCUAAGUCGAACGUGAAAUCCCUGGGCUCAACCCAGGAACUGCGUCCGAUACUGGUUGGCUUGAAUUCGGGAGAGGGAUGCGGAAUUCCAGGUGUAGCGGUGAAAUGCGUAGAUAUCUGGAGGAAUACCGGUGGCGAAGGCGGCAUCCUGGACCGGCAUUGACGCUGAGGAGCGAAAGCUAGGGGAGCAAACGGG